UGCCUCGGUAACAGUAACGUCAUCACAGCGGGCCGAACAUUCCGCCAUUAAAAGGGCUUCAAAAAUGAUCUUCUUUGUUGCCUGUUUACUACCAAGAUGUAUGUUUGGGCUCAGAUGUUUCACAUUGAUAUUGCCACCAUAUGUGACACUUGAUGUGCAAGGGAAUGCCAGCGCAAGGAACAAGGUAAUGGAUACCUUCAUCUGGAAAGGUAUACAGCUAACGAUGCACUACCUUGAUAUCACCAUUCAUCCAAAGGGUUCUGGGAAUUAAACUUAGCUCCAAUCACAAGUGGGAUGUAUACGAUCUGUAAUAAGAAAUAUUACUGCGCUAUUCAUAAAGGCUACAUAACAAAAAGAAUGUUGUCAGUUUCAC